rnacentral:lncRNA from 1 species
GGUGGAGGCGGAAGUGACUGAUCAAUUCAGGGGUGUGGGGUUCGUUUAGGUCUUUUCCUAGUUUUGCCCUGUGUAUGACCUCUUUUGGAGCCAUGAAACCAGGUCUGUGAAAUUUCGUGUCUAUUUUCUACCAUAGCACAUGUUAAUUUGGACUAACCACAUUUCAAGUGCUCAGUAGCCACAUGUGGCUAGCGACUACUAUCUUAAGCAAUGCAACGAUAAGUCUGCACUUACGUUCAAAAAGACUUAAAGCAGGGAUCCACAACCCCCAGGCCACAGACUGGUACGGAUCCAUGGCCUGUUAAGAACUGUGCCACACAGCAGGAGAAAGCUCUUCCACAAGUUCACCAAUGGAAAUAACAUCAAGAGUUUUUCAUCGUCUUAGUGUGCAAGGUUAUUUUAGGGCAAUGAUGGAAAGCACCAAGUGGAGCCUGGAGCUAGACUGAUCUGUGUUCAAUCCUGUCUUGGUUACUCAUUGCGGAGCCUUGACUUUCAUGUCUCUGUAAUGUCUCUGACAGUAUCUGCCUCACAGGGUUGCUGUGCAAAUCAAGCGAGAUGUCUGAGGAAUAGUCUUAGUGGAUUAUCCCAAACUUGACACAUUUUUUGCAAAAUGCUAUACAAAAAGAAGAUACAUGUGAUUAUGACAAGAUUCUCCACUUGGUGUGACCGGUCUCAUACAACCCAAGGCUGUGUGUCCAAACGCAAUUGCACUGAUCUUGACAAUAAUCAAAAUGUAGCCAGGUGCAUUGG